rnacentral:rRNA from 1 species
ACAGUUUGAUCAUAGGCUCAGGACGAACGCUGACGGUGUGCUUUACACAUGCAAGUCGAACGAGAAAGCCCUUCGGGGUUAGUACAGAUGUGCGAACGGGUGUAGAUAACAUCGUGGGCAAUCUGCCCCUCGCUGGGGGACAACCGGAGGAAACUCCGGCUAAUACCCCAUACGCUUGCGGAACCGCAUGGUUCCGUAAGGAAAGGUAGCUCCGAGCUCAUCCGGCGAGGGAUGAGACCCGCGUGUACAUUAGCGUAGAUUGGUGGUGGUAACGGCCCACCUAAGGCGACUGAUGUAUAGAUUGGUCUGAGAGGAUGAUCAGCCACACUGGGACUGAGACACGGCCAGGACUCCUACGGNGAGCGCAGCAGUCGGGAAUCUUGCGCAAUGGGCGAAAGCCUGACGCAGCGAACACCGUGUGAGCGAUGAAUGGCCUUCGGGUCGUAAAGCUCUGUUAGUUGGGGACGAAGGGCGAGGGGUUAAUAGCCCUGAGACUUGACGGUACCCUUCGAGGAAGCCCCGGCUAACUACGUGCCAGCAGCCGCGGUAAUACGUAGGGGGCGA